AGUCGAACGGCAGCACGGACUUCGGUCUGGUGGCGAGUGGCGAACGGGUGAUAAAUGCAUCGGAACGUGCCGGUAUGGGGAUAACUACGCGAAAGCGUAGCUAAUACCGCAUACGCCCUUCGGGGAAAGCGGGGACCUUCGGGCCUCGCACUAUUAGAAGGCUGAUAUCGGGAUUAGCUACGGUGGGGGUAACGGCUCACCAAGGCGACGAUCCGUAGCUGGUUUGAGAGGACGACCAGCCACACAGACUGGAGACACGGCCCAGACUCCUACGGGAGGCAGCAGCAGUGGGGAAUUUUGGACAAUGGGGAAACCCUGAUCCAAGCCAUCCCGCGUGUGCGAUGAAGGCCUUCGGGUUGUAAAAGACUUGGUGGCGGCGAAACGGCACGGGAUAUCACUCCCGUGCAACUGACGGUACCUGCAGAAUAAGCACCGGCUAACUACGCGCCAGCAGCUGCGGUAAUACGUAGGGUGCAAGCAAGCGACCGGAAUUACCGGGCGUAAAGGCAGGCGGUCUGGAAAGAACGAUGUGAAAUCCCAGAGCUUUAACCCUUGGAACUGCAUUUUUAACUACCGAGCUAGAGUGUGUCAGAGGGAGGUGGAAUUCCGCGUAGCAGUGAAAUGCGUAGAUAUGCGGAGGAACACCGAUGGCGAAAAGGCCUCCUGGGAUAACACUGACGCUCAUGCACGAAAAGCGGGAGCAAACAGGACGAUACCCUGGUAGUCCACGCCCUAAACGACAACUAGCUGCCGGGGCCUUCGGCCUGGUAGCGCAGCUAACGUGGUGUGAAGUUGACCGCCUGGGGAGUACGGUCGCAAGAUUAAAACUCAAAGGAAUUGACGGGGACCCGCACAAGCGGUGGAUGAUGUGGAUUAAUUCGAUGCAACGAAAACCUUACCUACCCCGACAUGUCUGGAAUCCCGAAGAGAUUUGGGAGUAAGCCAAAAGAGAACCGGAACACAGGUAUGCUGUAUGGCUGUCGUCAGCUCGUGUCGUAGGAUGCUGGUUAUCCCAACGAGCGCAACCCUUGUCAUUAGUUGCUACGAAAGGGCACGCAUCGAGACUGCCGGUGACAACCGAGGAAGGUGGGGAUGACGUCAAGUCCUCAUGGCCCUUAUGGGUAGGGCUUCACACGUCAUACAAUGGUCGGGACAGAGGGUCGCCAACCCGCGAGGGGGAGCCAAUCCCAGAAACCCGAUCGUAGUCCGGAUCGCAGUCUGCAACUCGACUGCGUGAAGUCGGAAUCGCUAGCAUCGCGGAUCAGCAUGUCGCGGUGAAUACGUUCCCGGGUCUUGUACACACCGCCUGUCACACCAUGGGAGUGGGUUUUACCAGAAGUAGUUAGCCUAACCGUAAGGAGGGCGAUUACCACGUGGUAGGAUUCAUGAUCAGGGUGAAGUCGUAAUAGCGUAG
rnacentral:rRNA from 1 species